rnacentral:rRNA from 1 species
UACGUAGGGGGCUAGCGUUGUCCGGAAUCAUUGGGCGUAAAGAGCGUGUAGGCGGUCCGGUAAGUCCGCUGCGAAAGUCGGGGGCUCAACCCUGGGAUGCCGGUGGAUACUGUCGAGCUCGAGUCCGGAAGAGGCGAGUGGAAUUCCUGGUGUAGCGGUGAAAUGCGCAGAUAUCAGGAGGAACACCAAUGGCGAAGGCAGCUCGCUGGGACGUGACUGACGCUGAGACGCGAAAGCGUGGGGAGCAAACAGG